UUCCGAAAAUCAACUUCCGUUGAUCCUGAUCAUAACAACGUUUGUUUUCAUGGGAAAAAAAUAUGGCGACUAAGAAACACUUAAUGUCAACAAGAUUUUCUGAUUGACAAGAGAAAAGGUCAAACAGGAACUUCAAUAGUGAACAUUGCAGAGAACACACCCAUCAGAAGAUGACACUCAGAAAUAGGACAAUUAAUGAAUAAAAUGGACAGAGGCAGAACUGAAGGAGAUGCAUGAAAUGAGGAAUAUUUCAAAGAUUGCCUGAGACUAACCACUGCUACUGGAUAAACAUAUGGCAAUAUAA